AAGUCGUAACAAGGUUUCCGUAGGUGAACCUGCGGAAGGAUCAUUACAAAUCAUGGCGAUUACAUCGCCAUUUUUUUUUUUCGUAUUUAAAACAACCCACUCUUUGCAAAAUAUAUUUUUUUUAAUCGUAAAAUAAAAAAAAAAAAGAUCACUUUCAACAACGGAUCUCUUGGCUCUC
rnacentral:misc_RNA from 1 species